CAGCACCUCAAGUGGUCAGGAUGAUUAUUGGGCCUAAAGCAUCCGUAGCCUGCUUUGUUAGUUUUCGGUUAAAUCCAUAUGCUCAACGUAUGGGCUGCCGGGAAUACUGCAGCGCUAGGGAGUGGGAGAGGUAGACGGUACUCGGUAGGAAGGGGUAAAAUCCUUUGAUCUAUUGAUGACCACCUGUGGCGAAGGCGGUCUACCAGAACACGUCCGACGGUGAGGGAUGAAAGCUGGGGGAGCAAACCGGAUUAGAGACCCGAGUAGUCC
rnacentral:rRNA from 1 species